CAUUAUGAAGCUAUCUAGCGUUAACCUUUUAAGUUAAAGACUGAGAACGUUAAUAUUCUCCAUAAUGA
rnacentral:tRNA from 1 species